GACGUAGGAUGCAAGCGUUGUCCGGAUUUAUUGGGCGUAAAGAGUUCGUAGGUGGUUUGUUAAGUCUGAUGUUAAAGACUGGGGCUCAACCUCGGAAAUGCAUUGGAUACUGGCAGACUUGAGUGUGGUAGAGGCAAUCGGAAUUCCAGGUGUAGCGGUGAAAUGCGUAGAUAUCUGGAAGAACACCGGUGGCGCAAGCGGAUUGCUGGGCCAUAACUGACACUGAGGAACGAAAGCGUGGGUAGCAAACAGG
rnacentral:rRNA from 1 species